rnacentral:rRNA from 1 species
UACGAGGGGGGCGAGCGUUGUUCGGAAUUAUUGGGCGUAAAGGGUGCGUAGGCGGUUCCGCAAGUCCUGUGUGAAAUCUUCGGGCUCAACUCGAAGUCUGCACGGGAAACUGCGGGGCUUGAGUGUGGGAGAGGUGAGUGGGAUUCCCGGUGUAGCGGUGAAAUGCGUAGAUAUCGGGAGGAACACCUGUGGCGAAAGCGGCUCACUGGACCAUAACUGACGCUGAUGCACGAAAGCUGGGGGAGCAAACAGG